CAUUUCUACCACUUUUACAAGCCAAUUUUGGUACUCGCCAACAGCAGACAGUACACACAAGCACAGGGCAAUAUCAUAAUAGGGAUGGCAACUGUAGAAACAUGUGUCACAGACAACCAGCGAGGAGCACAGAUCCACACAGGACCACUAUAUUGUGGUGUGCAUCACUCCCACAAUGCACCGCACAAAACAGCUGUGGGCUUCCACCACACCAAUCACAUGAGAAGGAGUUUACCUCGCAUAUAAAGUAUUUUUGGUAUAAAAGGAUCAUCACAUAAAAGCAAAUUCACACAUACAGAACCCGCAUAAAACAAAGGAAACCUGUACUGAGCAAUUUAAACAAUUUC